UGAGAAGAUGCCAGCGUCCAUAGGAAAGCAUUGAGAAUGCUUUCCUAUGAGACUGGCUGAAUGCGCGCGCGGCUCUUGCCGCGCAUGUGCAUUCAGCCAAUGACGGGGAAAGGAGGAGGAGAGUAUCCAGCACCAAGGGAGCCUGGCGCUGGAGAAAGGUGAGUGUUUAACCCCCUUCCUCCCCCUUCAGCCCGGCGGGAGGGGGACCCUGAGGGUGGGG